CAAAGAAAAAUAAAUAAAAUAAUAUAACUAAAUCCAACUUUCUGUAGUUUUGGGAGAGAUGAAAAUUAGAUGAGUGAUCAGAGAUGUUUUUGAAUGAUGAAGGUUGGUGGUUGUCAAUGUCCCGUUUCUGUUACACCCACAAAAACACAACCCUCAAGGAAAACAUUCUAAUUACAAAACUGAUAAGGUCCAAUGUGCUGAAGUCACUUAUGCUGCCCUUUGCUUUGUUUAUUCUUUCUAGAAGAAAAGAUGCAUAAAUACAUAAAUGUGCAUAGAUGUUAACAUAAGACUCUGCAGAUUUGAUCAUUUUCAUUUGAUUAGGAGGAGUUAAAUUAUGAAUUGAUUCAACAUUUUCUAUCAAAACAAAAUAACAAAACCUCAUUUUGACAACAAUAAUAAACCAUGAAAUACAGUCAAAAAUCCAAUAUUUAUUAAAUGUUUGAAUUUGUGUCUAGAAUGCCUAAUUCUGUGCUGAAAAUGGACCAUCGUCUGAUAAGAGAAACAUUGUUGAAACCAAGCGCUCCAGAAACAUGAGAGGGUUCAACGCUUUUCUGCUUUUAUUCGUCAAAAUCCUGUACUUUUCCAAACUCAAAUAUCCAGAGUUCUCUGAACAUUUUAGCAUUUUAUGGAGAUAUUUUGACAGUAGUAAGGUAUAAGGUGAGAAACCACCACAGUCACCAUUCAUGCCCUUUGCAUGAUUUGUUUUUGCCAUAAAAUGCAUUUCUACAGCAAGAACAGGAGGAAAGGAUUUGGUGCCCAAGCAAAGUCAAAGGACUCAGUUAUGUGUGGUGAAAAUCAUCCCAUCCCACCCGUCAUCCAUUGUUUAUUCUUAAACUCCAAAUGACGAUCUCAAAUCUCUUUCAUUUACACAGUGCACAGGAUCUCACACAAAACAGGAGUUAUGGUUAUAAAAUAUCUAGAUUUCAGUCAGGGAGAACAUAUGGUUUCAAUGAAGCGUUGGGACUGCACUACCAAUGCCCCAGUGAGCACGGCUCGGUCCUCCGACUCAUUCCUAUUAGAUUACAUCAGCAGCCUUAUCAUGACCGAGUACUCCACUCACACCAAGCAAAAGCCUCUUUCAAAAACACUGAAUAAAAGUCAGCUUGCCUCCUAUUUAAACCUAUUCACUGUUUUUAGAAAUGACACCAUUUGACGUAAACGAGGCUUUCAAAUGGUAAACAAUUACUUUUAGAGGAGUUUAAAAAAAUGAACUAAAACAAAUUCUGUGCAUGUAGAUAUAGCUCGUGUCUCAUACUCAGUUAUUCCUCCGCCUCCUUUUGCAAUAACGGUCGGCAUAAUAAAUGUAGAGUUUUUGUAGCUUUGGAGGCGAGGUUGUGAGUAUUGGAGACCCGGCUCCAUGCUGUUAAAAACACAGCAGAUAGUGGCCCUUAGCUACUAUCUGCUUAGCCUUAGCUAAGGCUAAGCAGAUCUGGGAUGGUCUAAAAAAACAUGCAAAAAAACACCAAAAACAAAAAACUUAUGAGCUGUCUGUUUGAAAUCACCUUUGGACUACAGCAAAAAAAAAAGUUAUUUAAACUUGAGGGAGAUCUUGGAAACUCCUCCCAGAAAGGCCUGGACUUUAACUUCUAAAAUGUUUAAUAUUUAUAUAAAAAUGACUAAAACUUGUUUGUCCAAAGUUUGCUUUAAAAUUGUGCAUUUGGGAUACAGUUAAUGCUUCUGAUGAUGAUGCUGACGAAGUGUGAGGAAGACCUGUUUUCUCACUAACAAGAAGAGGAGGGAGAAAAAAUAAACUGCAGAAAAAAAAGGGGUGGACUUUCUUCUGGAUCUCCUGCCAGAAAUGAAAAGCUGUCACAGAGUGAGAGGAACCAUGGAGGAAAGAACACCACAGAACCUGCUGCUCUGUCUGAGUUUCCUCCUGUGCUGCACAAUAAACCAAGGCAUCCCAGCUGCUCCGACUGUGAGUCCCAACAGAUCUCAGUUCUUUGAAGGAGAGUCUGUGUCUCUGUUUUGUGAAGACAGCAGGUGUGUUGGAUGGAUUAUGAGGUGGAACAUAACCAGAGAAACCAGGACUCAGUGUGGAGAUGGAUGGGGGAAACCAGCUGGUUCUACCUGUACCAUCAGCAGCCUCUACAUAGAGGACAGUGGAGUUUACUGGUGUGAGUGGAGAGAGGGAGCAGCCAGCAGCAGCAGCAUCCAGCUCACUGUCACUGGUGGAUCAGUGAUCCUGCAGAGUCCUGUCCUCCCUGUGAUGGAGGGAGAUGACGUCAC